UAGUAAUAGCAACUGUAAUAUAAAAUUUUAAAUAUAUUUCUAAUAGUAAUAGUAAUAGUAUUAGUAAUUGCUGGUGUCAAUAAUUGUGUAUACAGCACUGUUUUACUGGUUAAGGAACCUGACUCAACACAAUCUACACUUUACGCCAGCAAAUUUAUCACAUGCUGAUGCACGUGCCUAGGCCUAUAACAUUUGAAUUUUAAAAGCUCCAAGUUAGCUUAAGCUUAAAGACUAAUGUUACUCUCUUGUAACUAGUACUUGUUUCGUUAUGAUUGGUAAAGUACUUUUGAAAAACAGCUCCCUUAGCAUGAGAUUAAAAAUUGUGCAUGGGCGGUGGAGCAGCACCCUUAAUGUACAAAAUUACCAUUUAUUGUAUUUACACCACAUGAUGGUUCAUGUAUUAAUCACACACUUCUUUAAGCUUUGUAUUUAUUAUUGCUUUUGAACUUUAGGAUUUGUCUGUCUUGGCUCCCCCUGUCUAUGGCGCUACAAGUGUUAACACUUCCUUUUAUUAGAGGGGAAAGGAAUAUAUAUGUGCGAAGUAUUUACACUGAUUUUUUUUUAAGAAUCUUGACGCACCGCACAGAAAUUAUGUUGCUUGCUCCUCAUUCCCAAGAAGGAAUUGGCAUUGCAAUUACUGGGACGCCUCGAACUGGAAAAAGUUGUUUUCUUAUUUACGUUGCUCACAUGCUAAAGGAGAACAAUAUUAACUUUGUAAUUACCAUUGGAAGAAAGACAUACAAUAGUUGCUAUGAAGAGGCUGAUAUUACGAAAGAUUUGGAUAAUUCAAGCUUUGUGCACUUAAUAGACCCAUCUUUCUCACGCAGUGAUAUUGACAUACAUGCAGCGAUUCCUGUUUUUUUGCUUCCCCAACUACAUCUAAUUUUGAUCCAUAUCAUUUAAAACACAUGUAUAAGUAUUUUAUGCCUCUAUGGACCCGGGAGGAGUUAAUGGACGCGCACUCAAAGUUCGGUUCUACAUUUCAAGAGGAUUUAUUUCUCAAUUGGG